UUGGUAAGCUACUGAAACUGUAAAUGGCUUCCAGAAAUGAUUCCAGGCUGGACAGAAUGGCUCAUCAUUGUCUGUCACUGAAAUUGCAUGACUGUAGUAUCUGCAUUUUUUCCUUCAAUUAAAAAGUAAUAUUGAUAAAAAUUGGGUAGGGGAUUUCUUUAACCUUGGUUGGCAACCCUCUUGUGAUAGCAUUAGAGGUACAUGAGAACCAGUCUCUCUCCUGUCCUCCUGAGUGCCAAUCCAGAUCCCUCUUGCAGCUCCAGAACAUUUGUUUUGUACAUAUUCCAAAUAAACUAUUAAACUGCUGUUUUGUCUCUCUAAUUCUGUCCACACUCAGAGUCGAUGAAGGCUAAAGUUGAGUGGACUAGCUGGUCAUCAUGGAUUGAAGAACUAGGAACAUCUUGGCAGUGAAUGGAUGUCUGCACACCAGAAAUAUUGUUGUAGGAUGGUACCUAAGGAAAAUGGGAGAGCGGUGACUAGCAGUGAAGAGUGUUUCCUGUGUGACAUAAAGAUGACCACUGAUCCUGUUAAUGGUGAAAAGACCAACAGGGUGUUGAUCUGCUCCAGGACCAGUGAUGCUGUAAUGAAUCAUCUUUACAUUGUCUGCAUCAGAGCGUAUCUGGAAAACACAGACCAGGGUUGACUUGAGACAAGUUUAAAGCGCAACAAAGAAUUGCCACUGGAUAUCUGUGUGAACCGGCCAUUUAAAGUGGCACUGCACCUUGAGUGGGAGGAUUGGAUGACGAGUGGCGAGAAAUCCUUCACCAAAACAGGCUGCAUGCGAAGAGGAUCUUUCACUCAAGUCUGCUAGUGGAUCCUAAUUGCGUGGAGCCAUGUCAAAACAUCCACCAUCACCAACGGGUUUCGAAAGGCUGGACUGCUGCGUGAUGAAGAGGACCGGAUGUGCUCAAGUGAGAGCGACAACAAAGAGGUUGAAGUGAGUGACGAGAUCCUGAGGCUGUUCAAUUCGGACACUGAAGAAGAGGACUGAUGGUUUCAGUGCGCAGGAAGAAGAUGAAGAAGGCGAUCAAUGACUUUUGACCUGGUUGGCUGCAGUGUAUAUCAGUCGUUAGGAGAUAUUGGAAUGUUGUUCGUGCACUGUUCAGUGAAGAAAUAUGGAAGAAGUACCUUGACUUUAGACCUGCCUCUCACUCGGACUGCUAAUAACGACAACGAAGAAACUGAAGUGAGUGACGAGAUCCCAGAAGAGGAGAUAUUGGAAUGUUGUUUGUGCACUGUUCAGUAAAAAAGCAUAAGUAAUGUAAUUUGUGUGUUACUGAUACGUAUGUAUAUUUAAAGGUAGCCGUGUUACAGGCACUGUUCGAAAAAAAGGAUUUGCAAUAUGUAUUUGUUUAUAGUUGUUUAUAUUUAAAUGACUAAAGCCAAUUCAACAGCGAUCCAGAGGUAAUUCUGUCUACACAUGUGCGAAUGAACUGACGGUAUGGAUCGUACUUCUGGACAGAUUGGGUAGUGACAUUAAUGACUCCUCCAAAUUAACAUCCCCCCUGAAACCCUGUUGACUUUUUAUUUCCAGCUCCUCCAAUCGCAGAGAUGACCCUCCUAUAUAAACUCUCCUCAUCUGUUUACAGGUGUGGCUGUGUUUAAAAGACGUUCAACUUCUUUUUCUGUCCACACAACCGAACAUUCUGGCGCCAUGUUUAAUACCCAACAGGAAAUCGUCAUUGUUUUGAAGCUUUCUUGUAAAAGCUUUCUGUACAUGGU